ensembl:lncRNA
UCAGCGGUCAUGGAGAGUCUCCAUCCAGCUGGAUCACUGUCACAGACAAACACACCACCACACCUCCACCUACAUCCACACCUCCACCUACAUCCACACCUCCUCCUGGUUCCACCUCCAUCACUCUUCCUCCUGUUCUCUCUGUGUUGUCAUGUGUUGGAUCAGUCUGUGUUGUGGUUCUACUGGUGUUACUGGUUCUGCUGGUGAGACGAUGUGUUCACAGAAAACCUGAAGCUAUACAACAAGAAGCUGCAAAUGAUAAUUUCACAGACAUCACAUAUAGUGACAUCAAAUCAUCACAUCAUCAGCAAAGGGCAAUCAAACACCUCAGAGACAUUGAUACAGCUGUGGUGUACUCAACAGUGAGAACUGAAGAUGUCACUUAUGGACAAAUAGCCAUCAAACCAAAGAAGACCAGAGGAAACAAGCAUGAUACAGGAAACAGCAAAGGCAUCAUUUGAUACUGUGAACUGCACAGCAGAGCUUCAGUGCAGGAUGUGUCUGUUUGAGACUGAAACACUUUAUGUCCUUGGACACUCAGAACCCAACCAGCAGCAGGUGACAUGGUGCAAAUGUUCAUUUUAAUGAAGUGUUUAAUCUUGUAAUCUUCUUCUCAUUUUGUAAUGUAAUGUAAUGUUCUGUAAUGGCAUAGACUCAACCACAGGUCACCUUGCAAUAGCCACAUAUCAGGUGUGGUCAAACCUGUGUCAUGAGUGAGAAACAAGUUUCAAACUGAUUCAGAUUAGGCCCAUUUUGUCUUGGUACUCCCUUUUAUUAGCAAGAUGAAUUUCUAUUUAAUAUGAGGUCGAUUAAAAAAAACCCAAAAAAAACAAAAACAGACUGAAUGUAUCAAAUGUUAUUUUUUGAUAUUUAAUUUUGUCUUCUCUAGAGUCCUGAAUGUAAAACCAAAGCAGCAACUUCACUACAGUGUUUUCUAUUUUGGUUAAUAAUAGCUUUCAUGCUGUGAGAACAUGUUUGCUUUGUGCUUUGUGGUGAAGUGCAUCAGUUUGUAGAAACGGAAAAUAAAAGCUCUGUGGUCG